GGAAACGGCCCGGAGACGUUUCCUGGCCGGCCGUGUCCUUACGUUCCGGCGAGGAAACGUUACCUGAACUGGGAAGCGCGGGCUCCUCCCGUUUCCGCGCAUCUUAGAUCACCAGCUCCAUCAAGCCAAAUUCGUUUUCACAAAGUGAAAGACAGAAGCAAAGAUGAUGGUAGCCAGGACAAGGGUUAAAUUAACUACUAGUAGUAGGUUUCAAAAGUUUAAAGAACCUAGACACUAAUAUCAGUAAAUUGUGGAUCCUUAUGCGCUGUUUCUGUUCUUUUUUUAUUCGGCUUUCUUUUCUACAUAAAUUUUUGAAACAUGUAAACAAAAUUAGGUCGUAUGAGAUACUAAGCCAUACACACUGAAAAUGAAAUAUAGGAGAUGAAAAAAAACAAAAUAAAAUAAAUGGUGCGUAGUAAUUCAGAUGCACCCUUUCGUUUGCUUUGAAGAAUAUCAUGUAAACCCUUGCACAAGCUAAAUUCAAGAUGAUCCAAAGUAAUAAAUCGUGCCGUUUGAGGAAACAAAUUGCGCACUUCCUUACCAAAAAUUUGUUAUUAGUUGUUGGUUGAGAUACAGAGAGUAUAAAAUCAGUUUCUUUCAUAAAUUUCUUAAUAUAAGCCAUUCUAUCACCUUCGAGACCCUAUAAAAAUAUUUAUACUAGCAAAUGACGAGAAAAAAAAAUUGUCAUGAUUGUAGAUAUAUCAAACAUUCACUUUCCUGCUUUUUUGGUUGAUUAUUUUGUUUAUGCUUUGUUUGGAUUGAGGGA
rnacentral:misc_RNA from 1 species